rnacentral:lncRNA from 1 species
AGAAAUGUUAAUUUGUAAGCCUAGAGGCAGAGAGAUUAAAGGAAUCCCGAAAACAAAGAAGGUUGAUAGUUAAAAAGAGAGAAGGUCAGGCCAGACUCUAAUAUCAUCAAUAGGUACAUUCAAAUCUCUUUUUCUCUGGUGCAUUAAGCUGUAGUGCUACAGAUUUCAAGAACUGCGCCUUUUUAUGAUACAGAGUCUUUCUCACUCCAGAAAAUUCAAGAGGUGAGCUAGUGGUUUCAAAAAGAUAAUUAAUGAGACUCCUUUAAGCUGUCAAUGUGGUCUCUGUGACAUUGUGCUUUCAGAGCUUUUUGUGUGCAUUUCAAUAAUAAAAUGCUAUACCUUUCUUAUCUUCUUUUGUCUUUUGUACAGGAAGUCCUUGCCAACUUGGAGGAUGUAAUGGGAGAAGAAAAGCAUCUUUCCGUCAGUUUUAUUCUAUAUCCUUGGAUGUUUACUGCUGGUAGUAAUAUACUGGGGAAAAGGGAUAUUACAUCUUAGCAAAAGAUUGGAUUGUUUACCCAUUAUAUUCAAAUAGUGCCUCAUGGGAGAACCAAGUCAUUUCCCACGUGUAAUUUACUUCCAGCUUCUGGGCCUGAACAUAACCUCUUGCUAGUGAGCAGCAGAGGAAUACAGGUAAACACUGUGAAAGAGCAAUUGUUUACAACGUAUGGAUGCGGUUCUUUGAGAUGUGUUGUUCUAAUAGAUGCCAUGAUUUUUUCUCCCCUUUUACCAGAAUGCUGCGUCAACUGUCCUCUCUACGCUCUUGAAGGAGCAAUGCUUUAUGGAGCUCUGCUCAGGUGUGCUUCUGACACACCAGAAAUCAAAAGAGUUGAUAUUGUGGUGGAUGAUUUAAGCAUGCCUAUUUUGGGUUCUUAUGUCUUGGAGUGUUCUCUUGAGCAGCUUUAACAAUCCUCAGAUUUUGGAAGUGUCUAUGACAGGGGUAAUCAUUAUUAGAAAUAAAUAAAGGUCACCUCAGCUUCUAACUAUUCA